CAUAUUUCUAUCAUUGUAAAGUGAAGUUCUUAGAAGCAAUGCUGUGGCCAGUACUGUACUUCUGUAUCAGAUACUUGUUAUUCUGCAGAUGCUGGUGUUGGCUCUGUUGUGAGAGGUGUGGAGAACAAAUCUAAACCCAGAAUAAGUGUUUAUUCCAUUUAUUGCCAGUGACUCCCUAUUUCAUGGUGGAAAGAGUCCAAUGUAAACAAUUGCCAAGCAGCUGCUUAGUUACCUUGAAGCACAAGAUCUUAUCAAGAGUUCAAGGCUUUGAAGAACAAGCUGCCAUGAAUCCUGCAGCUACAAGGAAAUGAACUCUAUUAACUUGAGUGAGCUUAAAACUAGAUCCUUCCCCAGUCAAGCCUCCAGGUGAGAAUUCAAUCCUGGCUGGCACCUGGAUUGCAGCUUACAGAAGACCCAGCUAAGGCCAUGUCUGGACUUUAAAUCCACAGGAACUGCAAGAUGGUAUCAGAAGUGGGACCUGCAGUGGGGCAUCUAGCAACCCCCAGGAGCAUUGAGUGACCAGGCUUGGGACCCACCGGGCGCAGGGUGUCCAUUGUUCUCUCGAAGCAACUGAGAAUUGUGGAUAUUCUUCAUUAUUCCAUCAUCAUCUCAAACCUCUUGGGUAUAGUGUUUGACUACUACUGUGACCAUAAAUUCCAAUAAAACCUAGGAAAAAUGAAACCACUACAUUAACUGAAAGGGAAGGAUUUGACAGCUUCUUUUGGGCAUAUCAGAAUCGCCAGCAUCACUACUCUUGCACUGUGCGGCCAUUAUUAAGUGAAAUAAGGAUUACUUGAACACAAGCACUGCAAUGCCGCUACAGUCAAUGUGAUAACCCAGCUGGUGACUAAGUGACCAAGGACGGGGAGUAUCUACAGCGGGGAGACUCUGGAAAAAGGGAGGAUUCACAUCCAGUGCCACUGGGGCAGGGCAGAAUGAGAGUUCAUCAUGCUACAAAGAAUGGCACAGAAUAUACGACUUGUGAGUGGAUUAUCUCUGGAAUUUUCUGUUGACUACAUUUGUACUACAGUUGUAUGUGGGUAACAAACUGUGGAAAGUGAAACUUCGGGUAAGGGGGAGGCUACCGUAGAUAGCCCAGUAUUUCUUAUUUUGUGGAUUUGUUUAUCUUUCUGCUCACAUCCUUUUCCUUCUGCAUUACCAUUUUAGUAAAAAUAGAUAGCAUCCAUUUGGUGUUUAGUAUGUUUUUGGCACAGUCGAACAUUUUACAAACAUUAUAUCAUUUAAUCUGCAUAAAACCUAUACAGUAGGUACAACUAUUAUCCAGUUUUUUAGACAAGGCAAACUGGAUCACAGGGAGUUCAAAACGCCUCUUCCCUUGGUCAAGUUGGGUCAUGUAAUUGUCAAAGUUAAAACAUGCCCCUUAGGAGAUGAUUUAAAAUUCCCUAAUUUUUUAGAAGAAUCUUCAGUUUUCCCAGGAUAGAACAUUUAUUGAUAUGGUAAAUAUGUGGAAAGA
rnacentral:lncRNA from 1 species